rnacentral:rRNA from 1 species
UACGGAGGAUGCAAGCGUUAUCCGGAAUGAUUGGGCGUAAAGCGUCCGCAGGUGGCGAUGUAAGUCUGCUGUUAAAGAGCAAAGCUUAACUUUGUAAAAGCAGUGGAAACUACAUCGCUAGAGUGCGUUCGGGGCAGAGGGAAUUCCUGGUGUAGCGGUGAAAUGCGUAGAGAUCAGGAAGAACACCGGUGGCGAAGGCGCUCUGCUAGGCCGCAACUGACACUGAGACGCGAAAGCCAGGGGAGCGAACGGG